rnacentral:rRNA from 1 species
UACGUAGGUGGCAAGCGUUGUCCGGAUUUACUGGGCGUAAAGGGCGCGCAGGCGGUUGUUUAAGUCGAAUGUGAAAGCCCCCGGCUCAACUGGGGAGGGUCAUUCGAUACUGAUCGACUUGAAGGCAGGAGAGGGAAGUGGAAUUCCGGGUGUAGUGGUGAAAUGCGUAGAUAUCCGGAGGAACACCAGUGGCGAAGGCGACUUCCUGGCCUGUUCUUGACGCUGAGGCGCGAAAGCUGGGGGAGCAAACGGG